rnacentral:rRNA from 1 species
UGGGGAAUAUUGCACAAUGGGCGAAAGCCUGAUGCAGCAACGCCGCGUGAGUGAUGAAGGCCUUCGGGUUGUAAAGCUCUGUCUUCUGGGACGAUAAUGACGGUACCAGAGGAGGAAGCCACGGCUAACUACGUGCCAGCAGCCGCGGUAAUACGUAGGUGGCAAGCGUUGUCCGGAUUUACUGGGCGUAAAGGAUGCGUAGGCGGAUACUUAAGUCAGAUGUGAAAAUCCCGGGCUUAACUUGGGAACUGCAUUUGAAACUGGGUAUCUAGAGUGCGGAAGAGGAAAGUGGAGUUCCUAGUGUAGCGGUGAAAUGCGUAGAGAUUAGGAAGAACACCAGUGGCGACGGCGAAUUUCUGGACCGUAACUGACGCUGAGGCAUGAAAGCGUGGGG